AUUGAACGCUGGCGGCAGGCUUAACACAUGCAAGUCGAACGAGUGGCGGACGGGUGAGUAAUGUCUGGGAAACUGCCUGAUGGAGGGGGAUAACUACUGGAAACGGUAGCUAAUACCGCAUACCAUCGGAUGUGCCCAGAUGGGAUUAGCUAGUAGGUGGGGUAAAGGCUCACCUAGGCGACGAUCCCUAGCUGGUCUGAGAGGAUGACCAGCCACACUGGAACUGAGACACGGUCCAGACUCCGACGGGAGGCAGCAGUGGGGAAUAUUGCACAAUGGGCGCAAGCCUGAUGCAGCCAUGCCGCGUGUAUGAAGAAGGCCUUCGGGUUGUAAAGUACUUUCAGCGAGGAGGCGUUACCCGCAGAAGAAGCACCGGCUAACUCCGUGCCAGCAGCCGCGGUAAUAC
rnacentral:rRNA from 1 species